AUAUUAUUAUAACGUUUCCGAAUCGCAUUACUAAUCGUCUAGAAAACUUUUACAAUAUUGCAAAUGGUAUGUAUGCGUUUCCGUGAGUAUUUCGACGUACUUUGACAGUGUUUCGGCCGUAACAACCGAUCAAUUUCACGAGAUACCCUACAGCGGGGGUACCUAUACAAUCGCAGCGGGCAUACGGACCCGGUAAAGUGGAAAACGGGCUGUGUGCUACGAGUCGAUUCCGUUAUUUUAGAUUCUCUGAGUGGAGCGA